GGCCCAACUACGUCAAUAAGUAAAGGUUCUGAGCCUGGUUGAGCGUUUGCAAUCGCUUCUGCAUCAGCCUUUCUUUUUUGUUGCUCUAAAUAUUCAAUACGUUUUUGCAAAUCAGGAAUACCAUAGUAUUUCAAAUCAGCAGCAAGAGUGAAAUCAUUACGACGCUCGGCAUCCUCAGCCUUAGCCUUCAACUCAUCAAGACGACGCUUAGCAUCUUGAAGUUCACUUCCACGAGACUUUUCUAAUUCAUACUUCUCACGAAUAGGUCUUGUUUCUUCUUCCACUUGUUCAGCCUCUUUACGAGCAGCCUUGAGACGUUCUUUGGAAGCUUCGUCC